rnacentral:tRNA from 1 species
AUUUAUGUAGUUUAAACAAAACAUUACAUUUUCAAUGUAAAAUUAAGUAAAUUCUUCAUAAAUU